rnacentral:rRNA from 1 species
GAUGAACGCUAGCGAUAGGCUUAACACAUGCAAGUCGAGGGGCAGCAUGGUCUUAGCUUGCUAAGGCUGAUGGCGACCGGCGCACGGGUGCGUAACGCGUAUGCAACUUGCCUCACAGAGGGGGAUAACCCGUCGAAAGACGGACUAAUACCGCGUACACUCUAUGUUGGGCAUCCAAUGUAGAGGAAAUGAAAUUCGCUGUGAGAUAGGCAUGCGUCCCAUUAGCUAGUUGGUGAGGUAACGGCUCACCAAGGCGACGAUGGGUAGGGGAACUGAGAGGUUGAACCCCCACACUGGUACUGAGACACGGACCAGACUCCUACGGGAGGCAGCAGUGAGGAACAUUGGUCAAUGGGCGAGAGCCUGAACCAGCCAAGUCGCGUGAAGGAUGACUGUCUUAUGGAUUGUAAACUUCUUUUAUACGGGAAUAACAAGAGUCACGUGUGGCUCCCUGCAUGUACCGUAUGAAUAAGCAUCGGCUAACUCCGUG